rnacentral:rRNA from 1 species
CGGACGGGUGAGUAAUGUCUGGGAAACUGCCUGAUGGAGGGGGAUAACUACUGGAAACGGUAGCUAAUACCGCAUAACGUCGCAAGACCAAAGAGGGGGACCUUCGGGCCUCUUGCCAUCGGAUGUGCCCAGAUGGGAUUAGCUAGUGGUGGGGUAACGGCUCACCUAGGCGACGAUCCCUAGCUGGUCUGAGAGGAUGACCAGCCACACUGGAACUGAGACACGGUCCAG